GACGAACGCUGGCGGCGUGCUUAACACAUGCAAGUCGAACGAAGCUUGAUUACGGAUUCUUCGGAUGAAGUAUGAUAUGACUGAGUGGCGGACGGGUGAGUAACGCGUGAGUAACCUGCCCUUCAGAGGGGGAUAGCGUUUGGAAACGAACGGUAAUACCGCAUAAUGUAUUUUGACCGCAUGAUCGAAAUACCAAAGAUUUAUCGCUGAAGGAUGGACUCGCGUCUGAUUAGGUAGUUGGUGGGGUAACGGCCUACAAAGCCGACGAUCAGUAGCCGGACUGAGAGGUUGAUCGGCCACAUUGGGACUGAGACACGGCCCAGACUCCUACGGGAGGCAGCAGUGGGGAAUAUUGCACAAUGGGCGCAAGCCUGAUGCAGCAACGCCGCGUGAAGGAAGACGGUUUUCGGAUUGUAAACUUCUGUUCUUAGUGAAGAAUAAUGACGGUAGCUAAGGAGCAAGCCACGGCUAACUACGUG
rnacentral:rRNA from 1 species